rnacentral:rRNA from 1 species
GGAGGCUGGUUUAUGAAGUGGAAGCAAUUGAACCCGUAUAGUUUGAUCCUGGCUCAGGACGAACGCUGGCGGCGUGCCUAAUACAUGCAAGUCGAGCGGACAGAAGGGAGCUUGCUCCCGGAUGUUAGCGGCGGACGGGUGAGUAACACGUGGGUAACCUGCCUGUAAGACUGGGAUAACUCCGGGAAACCGGAGCUAAUACCGGAUAGUUCCUUGAACCGCAUGGUUCAAGGAUGAAAGACGGUUUCGGCUGUCACUUACAGAUGGACCCGCGGCGCAUUAGCUAGUUGGUGAGGUAACGGCUCACCAAGGCGACGAUGCGUAGCCGACCUGAGAGGGUGAUCGGCCACACUGGGACUGAGACACGGCCCAGACUCCUACGGGAGGCAGCAGUAGGGAAUUUUCCGCAAUGGACGAAAGUCUGACGGAGCAACGCCGCGUGAGUGAUGAAGGUUUUCGGAUCGUAAAGCUCUGUUGUUAGGGAAGAACAAGUGCAAGAGUAACUGCUUGCACCUUGACGGUACCUAACCAGAAAGCCACGGCUAACUACGUGCCAGCAGCCGCGGUAAUACGUAGGUGGCAAGCGUUGUCCGGAAUUAUUGGGCGUAAAGGGCUCGCAGGCGGUUUCUUAAGUUUGAUGUGAAAGCCCCCGGCUCAACCGGGGAGGGUCAUUGGAAACUGGGAAACUUGAGUGCAGAAGAGGAGAGUGGAAUUCCACGUGUAGCGGUGAAAUGCGUAGAGAUGUGGAGGAACACCAGUGGCGAAGGCGACUCUCUGGUCUGUAACUGACGCUGAGGAGCGAAAGCGUGGGGAGCGAACAGGAUUAGAUACCCUGGUAGUCCACGCCGUAAACGAUGAGUGCUAAGUGUUAGGGGGUUUCCGCGCCGUUAGUGGUGCAGCUAACGCAUUAAGCAUUCCGCCUGGAGUCUCAGGCGCGGC